CGUCUAGCUACGACCCUGGCAGGGAGCUGGCAAAAUCUCAAAUAAACAGGAGUUUUUCCUGAUAGAUUGUGUGAUACCGUCAGUCGAUGACGAAUAUCGUUUAAAAUCAUCGUGUCAAAUUUCGUGACAAUCGGACUCAAAAUGAAGGAGCAUUUGGCUUUUUUGAAGAGCGUCGCCCCCUAACAACAACGACGACGACAAAGACGACGACACCGACACCGACGACGACAACGACAACCGAAUUUUUACGUCAUUGUAUUUUCGUAUGGUACUUUAUCCUAAGGCCGGCAACCCUUUCACAAAAUACAUUCCCUGACACUAUUACUUUUUGGGAAAAAAUUAGAUACAAAUCUUUUUAGAGUUGAAAAAGUUUAGAAGUACUCAAAUUUCUACAAUAAAAAGUGUUUUAUUGUUGAAAUUUUGCAGCAGAUAGGCGGAAUGCAAAUUGCUUGACAAACGUCAUCAUCGCAAAAAGCAUCGGCUUAUAUUGCCUAUUGGCUGCUGAAAAAUCAGGAAAUUCCGAAAAAGUAUGCUAUUAUAUUCUUCUCUCCUCCUCAGAAGCUUACAAGUUUCUAGUGAGAAAAAAGUGAGCGCGCAAGAAGUGAUGGGAAGAGCGAUUUCAAUUUUCCCAUCACUCCGCGCGCGCGCACGCACUUUUAUUCAGGAAACUUCAUUUUGUUUUAUUUUAUUUUAUUUUAUUAGCUUUGUCAACUAGGGCAAAGUCACCACAACAGCAUCUGCCAGUUACUGUGGGUCCUAACCCACCCUGUCAACUUCCCUGUGGGAGGAAACCGGAGUACCCGGAGGAAACCCAAGAUUUUCGGCAGAGCCUUAACGUUUACUGGGGGGUUCUCGCUGAGAUUUAAACCUGCGACCUUAGAGGUGAAAGGCAAGUGCGCUAACUACUUCGCCACCGAAGCCCCUAUUCAUGGAAGUUAUUUGUAAAUACUUAAUUAAGAAGGCUCUGCGGAGGAGAAAGUGAUAUUCGGAAUUCUCCGAUUUCUCAGCAGCCAAUAAGCAAUAUUUCAAUAAUAAAACACUUCUUAUUGUAGAAAUUUAAGUACUUCUAAAC